GCCGGGUGCGGUGGCGCGCGCCUGUAAUCCAAGCUACCGGGAGGCUGAGGCUGGCGGAUCGUUUGAGCUCAGGAGCUCUGAGCUGCAGCGGACUAUGCCGAUCGGGCGUCCGCACUAAGUUCGGCAUCGAUAUGGUGCUCCUGGGGGAGCCCGGGACUACCAGGUCGUCUAAGGAGGGGUGCACCGGCCCAGGUCGGGAACGGAGCAGGUCAAAGCCCCCGUGCCGCUCARUAGUGGGAUCGCGCCUGUGAAUAGACGCUGCAGUGCAGCCUGAGCAACACRGCGAGACCCAGUCUUUU
ensembl:misc_RNA Metazoa_SRP Metazoan signal recognition particle RNA